CCUACGUGAGGCAGCAGUGGGGAAUAUUGCACAAUGGGGGAAACCCUGAUGCAGCGACGCCGCGUGAGUGAAGAAGUAAUUCGUUAUGUAAAGCUCUAUCAGCAGGGACGAAAAUGACGGUACCUGAGUAAGAAGCCCCGGCUAACUACGUGCCAGCAGCCGCGGUCAUACGUAGGGGGCAAGCGUUAUCCGGAUUUACUGGGUGUAAAGGGAGCGUAGACGGCGAUGCAAGUCUGAAGUGAAAGGCGGGGGCCCAACCCCCGGACUGCUUUGGAAACUGGAUGGCUGGAGUGCAGGAGAGGUAAGUGGAAUUCCUAGUGUAGCGGUGAAAUGCGUAGAUAUUAGGAGGAACACCAGUGGCGAAGGCGGCUUACUGGACUGUAACUGACGUUGAGGCUCGAAAGCGUGGGGAGCAAACAGGAUUAGAUACCCGUGUAGUC
rnacentral:rRNA from 1 species